UACAGAGGAUGCAAGCGUUAUCCGGAAUGAUUGGGCGUAAAGCGUCUGUAGGUGGCUUUUUAAGUCCGCCGUCAAAUCCCAGGGCUCAACUCUGGACAGGCGGUGGAAACUACCAAGCUGGAGUACGGUAGAGGCAAGGGGAAUUCCCGGUGUAGCGGUGAAGUGCGUAGAUAUCGGGAGGAACACCAGUGGCGAAAGCGCCUUGCUGGGCCAGUACUGACACUGAGGAACGAAAGCCAGGGGAGCGAAAGGG
rnacentral:rRNA from 1 species